GGAGGCUUCUUGCAGUAAUAGGUAAAGUGGCUAUACCCUGAUACACUAAUGGGACUGUUGUUGUUCUUACUGUUAGUUUGCACUUCAAUUCUGAUAUUUCAGGUCGCAUGAUCAGAAACAGAAAAUGCUUUGAGCAAUAUAUUGAAUAAUUGAAAUAAGGCAGACAAAUAUUUUUGUUCUGACCCUAUUUGAAAUAAGUUCUAUCCUAAAGUGUGUGAUGCCAUACUUGCAGGAACCUUGCUCUGCAUAGUGUUGAUAUCUGGCCUUUUCUUCAUUCCGGAAUCUCCAAGAUGGCUGGCAAAGAUGAAUAUAAUGGAUGAUUGCGAGACUUCUCUACAAGUUCUGAGAGGAUUCGAUGCUGACAUCACUUCAGAAUUGAAUGAUAUAAAGAGAGCAGUAAUGUUAGCAAACAAAAGGACUACAAUUCGUUUCCAAGAGUUGAACCAAAAGAAAUAUCGAACGCCCCUAAUUGUAACAUUGUCCAAGAAGCA